rnacentral:rRNA from 1 species
CCUACGGGUGGCAGCAGUGGGGAAUAUUGGGCAAUGGGCGCAAGGCUGAACCAGCCAUGCCGCGUGAAGGUCAGUGCCCUAUGGGCGUUAAACUUCUUUUGUGCGGGAGCAAUAAUGGUCACGUGUGGCCAGACGAGAGUACCGUACGAAUAAGCAUCGGCUAACUACGUUCCAGCAGCCGCGGUAAUACGGAGGGGGCAAGCGUUAUCCGGAUUUACUGGGUGUAAAGGGGGCGCAGACGGCAGCGCAAGCCAGGAGUGAAAGCCCGGGGCCCAACCCCGGGACUGCGCUUGGAACUGCGCGGCGGGAGUGCAGGAGGGGCAGGCGGAAUUCGUGGUGUAGCGGUGAAAUGCGUAGAUAUCAGGAGGAACACCGGUGGCGAAGGCGGCCUGCUGGACUGCGACUGACGUUGAGGCCCGAAAGCGUGGGGAGCAAACAGGAUUAGAUACCCCGGUAGUC